rnacentral:antisense_RNA from 1 species
CUUCAGCGAACCGAGCAGCAGCGGCUUCCCGUUCUCGCCGCGGUCCUUGCCGUAGGUGGCGAGCACCGCCUGGGCCUC